rnacentral:misc_RNA from 1 species
GCCAGUUAUAGUGCCACAGCCCUCAAAGUAACUUCGAAUGUCAUCCUCAGUUGAGUAAUAUGGAAUGCCUCCAACAUAAACUUUUGUAGCAACAUCCUCAUUCAUUUGACUUUCACGGAUCCCUUCUGUUGGCUCUGCUACUUCUUCUGCCUCAACACCUAGCUUCUCCUCCACACUCUUGGAUUUUUUCUUCUUCUGUUUCUUUUUCUUCUUCUUUGCCUUCUUUGCCUCCUUCACUGCUUCAUCCUCCACUAAACCCUUGUCUUCACUGUCUCCUUCUUCUCUCUUUCUUUUCUUCUUCUUUCUCUUCCUUUUUUCACCAUUUUCCUCGUUAUCACCCUCAGUCACUAAAUCCUCUUCAUUUUUCUCCUCACUUCUUUUGUUCUUUUCGCCUCUGUCAUCAUUUAUACUCUUUUGUGCACUAUCAAAUCCUUGCAAAGAGAGGGUCUUCCUUCUUUUCUCCCUCUUUGACAAUUUGGGCCUAUGUUUUGCUGCUUCUAUAAGCUCUUGAAGCCGCGAAUUACCUUCUUGGUCUAUUGAUGAUUCCUUGCCAUUCGGGUUUGGCCCACCAGAUACUUUGGCCGCUAAAGAUUCUGCCUUUGCUUCUCUCAGCUUCUGCUUUAGCUUCUUGUUUGAUAACACCAUUACUGCUCUGCAGGCAAAAACCCUA